rnacentral:rRNA from 1 species
CACCGCGGUUAUACGAAAGACCCUAGUUGAUAGAUGCGGCGUAAAGGGUGGUUAAGGAAAUAAAAUAAUAAAGCUAAAGAUUUCCCAAACUGUCAUACGCCCACGGAAACACGAAACCCAAGUACGAAAGUAGCUUUAAACUAAUACACCUGACCCCACGAAAGCUAAGAUA